GUGCCAGCAGCCGCGGUAAUACGUAGGGUGCAAGCGUUAAUCGGAAUUACUGGGCGUAAAGCGUGCGCAGGCGGUUUUGUAAGUCUGACGUGAAAUCCCCGGGCUCAACCUGGGAACUGCAUUCGAAACUGGCAGGCUAGAGUCUUGUAGAGGGGGGUAGAAUUCCAGGUGUAGCGGUGAAAUGCGUAGAGAUCUGGAGGAAUACCGGUGGCGAAGGCGGCCCCCUGGACAAAGACUGACGCUCAGGUGCGAAAGCGUGGGGAGCAAACAGGAUUAGAUACCCUGGUAGUCC
rnacentral:rRNA from 1 species